UCCAGAGUUUGAUCAUGGCUCAGAUUGANCGCUGGCGGCAGGCUUAACACAUGCAAGUCGAGCGGGGAAGGUUGCUUCGGUAACUGACCUAGCGGCGGACGGGUGAGUAAUGCUUAGGAAUCUGCCUAUUAGUGGGGGACAACAUUCCGAAAGGAANGCUAAUACCGCAUACGCCCUACGGGGGAAAGCAGGGGAUCUUCGGACCUUGCGCUAAUAGAUGAGCCUAAGUCGGAUUAGCUAGUUGGUGGGGUAAAGGCCUACCAAGGCGACGAUCUGUAGCGGUCUGAGAGGAUGUGACCACACUGACUGGCCGC
rnacentral:rRNA from 1 species